ensembl:snoRNA
AUAGCAGGCUGCAAUUGCAGUGCUUCCUGCUGUGGGAGUACUGCCAUUCCCCUGCUCAGAGUAACCCUGUUAACGCUGCCUUUGGUUUCACCUCUGUGUCGGUGAGGCUGUUUGUCCUUAACAUGAACACGA